GGUUUUUGAAGCAGUUUUCCUGUUCAUGGGACCAUUCCCAUUCAUUUUUCUGUUCCAGAAGACAUCUGAGUGGAGCGGACUGUACUGACAGUUGAGGUAUGAACUUUGCAAGGUAGGUGAUCAUGCCCAUGAAGCGUCUCACAUCGUCCUUGUUCUUCGGGUGCUCCAUGUUGUUGAUGGUUGAUGUUUUCCUCGGGUCUGGUUUGACUCCGUCCUCUGAAAGUACGUCUCCCACGAAGACGAUGAUGUCAUCCAUCAUAGUCUCCACUCCUGGAAUGUGCUCGAAGAUCAUGUGGAUUGUUUUGUGGUAGACCUCUGGCGCUGAGAGAGUCCCGUAUGGUAGAUGAAGAAAUCUGUACCUGCCCUCAGAUACCACUGCUGUUCAUCUGCCUGUCUACCAGACCAGCCCAGAGUACUGUACCACUGCUGUUCAAAUGCCUGUCUAUCUGUCCAGAAUGAAGCUUAUCCUGACUCUCUCUCUCAUCUGCACUCUCUUCUGCUCAGUUGAGAUGCUGCAGUGUUUCAACGACUCAUUUAUAGUCAACUGUUCAGCCCCUUUGAGAGAAACAUGUCUCACUGCAACCAUCAAUGCAAAAGGUCUCAUCAAUUCAACCCAGGUAGUCAAGGAGUGUUCCCCAAUCUUCAGCUAUGGUGAAUCCACAGUGUCAGUGAACCUGGGCUUCUUACACAUUGCCUCUAACCAGUUAUUUUGUAACAUCGAUGGGUGCAACAAACAAACUCUACAGUCUGCCCCCAAUUUGGCUAACGGAAGACAAUGUCCCUCCUGCAGCAGCUUCAGGGAUACGAUGUGUAACAGCACUGUGACCUGCCUGGGUGUGGAAGACCAGUGUUUUAGCGGCAGUGUAACACCUGGCAUCAAUUCUACUACGGUGAAUGUCAAGGGCUGUACAACUUCCAACGUGUGCAUUUCCAUUAAUCAACUGCUGCCCUCAAUAAGUCAACUGCUGCCCUCAGUGAAUCAACUGCUGCCCUCAGCGAUUAGCUUUAGUGACCUCAGUAAUGUGUUCACCUGUAAGACAGCUCCUGUAACUGUAACCACAGCUCCUGUAACUGUAACCACAGCUCCUGUAACUGUAACCACAGCUCCUGUAACUGUAACCACAGCUCCUGUAACUGUAACCACAGCCUCUGUUAUUGUAACUACAGGCCCUGUAACAGCCACAGCUUGGUCCAUCAGACUGAGCCUAGUCCCUCUGCUGCUGGGCCUCACUAUCAGCGAAUUAAUCUGAUAUAAACAGAGAUGAACAUAUCGGGACUCAUCUGACAACAUAAUGCAUUGAUUAGAACACAACAUAAUGUACAAUGAUUUUCAUGUAUUGUGAAAUAUGUACUAUAAGUGAAAUUAUGUUAUUUAUUUGGAAUUUUCCAGAUGAUGCCCUGUUACAUUAUAUAGUGUGUUUGCUUAUAUAUUUAUCUGUAUAUUUGAUCAAUUGUGAUUGCUUGUAAGUUUAAAAUAAAUAAUAUGUUUAAAUGCCAAUAAAGUUUCUAUCACUCUACCAACAUGGA